rnacentral:lncRNA from 1 species
UCUUAGCGAGUUUACAAAAGGCGUCAUGACACUUUCAGACCCGAAAAGACUGGACAUUAGGCAGUUGAAGCACUGGUUGACUACUAGUUUUGGGCUGGAUCCUAAAGUCUGUUCCGUCAGUAUUCAUGCAUUGUGGACCAAAUCCUGUAAAAAUGUCAAGUGGGAGUUGAUGCCGAUAGAUUGGAGCCAGCAUUAGUUGUCCAUGUUAAGUCGUUCCAGAGACCGAAGAAUCCACCCAUAUGCCCUAGUGCAACUAGUGGCGAAGGAGGAGAAUUUCGUACAAGUCAACGUGGGGUAUGAAC